UUUGUACUCCCUCAGUCCGAAAAUACUUGUCAUUAAAAUUGAUGUAUCUAAAUGUAUUUUAGUUCUAGAUAUAUUUAUUUUCAUCCAUUUUGAUGACAAGUAUUUUCGGACGGAGGGAGUAUCAA
rfam:Triticum urartu cultivar G1812 contig755620, whole genome shotgun sequence.